CCUACGGGGUGCUGCAGUGGGGAAUAUUGGACAAUGGGCAAAAGCCUGAUCCAGCCAUGCCGCGUGUGUGAAGAAGGCCUUCGGGUUGUAAAGCACUUUCAGUGGGGAAGAAAGCCUUGGGGCUAAUACCCUCGAGGAAGGACAUCACCCACAGAAGAAGCACCGGCUAACUCCGUGCCAGCAGCCGCGGUAAUACGGAGGGUGCGAGCGUUAAUCGGAAUUACUGGGCGUAAAGCGCGCGUAGGCGGUCUGAUAAGCCGGUUGUGAAAGCCCCGGGCUCAACCUGGGAACGGCAUCCGGAACUGUCAGGCUAGAGUGCAGGAGAGGAAGGUAGAAUUCCCGGUGUAGCGGUGAAAUGCGUAGAGAUCGGGAGGAAUACCAGUGGCGAAGGCGGCCUUCUGGACUGACACUGACGCUGAGGUGCGAAAGCGUGGGUAGCAAACAGGAUUAGAUACCCGGGUAGUC
rnacentral:rRNA from 1 species